rnacentral:rRNA from 1 species
GUCGAGCGGCAGCACAGAGGAACUUGUUCCUUGGGUGGCGAGCGGCGGACGGGUGAGUAAUGCCUGGGAAAUUGCCCUGAUGUGGGGGAUAACCAUUGGAAACGAUGGCUAAUACCGCAUGAUGCCUACGGGCCAAAGAGGGGGACCUUCGGGCCUCUCGCGUCAGGAUAUGCCCAGGUGGGAUUAGCUAGUUGGUGAGGUAAUGGCUCACCAAGGCGACGAUCCCUAGCUGGUCUGAGAGGAUGAUCAGCCACACUGGAACUGAGACACGGUCCAGACUCCUACGGGAGGCAGCAGUGGGGAAUAUUGCACAAUGGGCGCAAGCCUGAUGCAGCCAUGCCGCGUGUAUGAAGAAGGCCUUCGGGUUGUAAAGUACUUUCAGUCGUGAGGAAGGUUGUAGUGUGAAUAGCACUAUGAUUUGACGUUAGCGACAGAAGAAGCACCGGCUAACUCCGUGCCAGCAGCCGCGGUAAUACGGAGGGUGCGAGCGUUAAUCGGAAUUACUGGGCGUAAAGCGCAUGCAGGUGGUUUGUUAAGUCAGAUGUGAAAGCCCUGGGCUCAACCUAGGAGUUGCAUUUGAAACUGACAAGCUAGAGU